GAAUUCACUAGUGAUUGAGUUUGAUCCUGGCUCAGGAUGAACGCUAGCGGCAGGCCUAACACAUGCAAGUCGAGGGGUAGAACACUUCGGUGUUUGAGACCGGCGCACGGGUGCGUAACGCGUAUGCAAUCUACCUUGUACAGGGGAAUAGCCCAGAGAAAUUUGGAUUAAUGCCCCAUAGUAUAUAACCUUCGCAUGUUGGUUAUAUUAAAGUUCCAACGGUACAAGAUGAGCAUGCGUCCCAUUAGUUAGUUGGUAAGGUAACGGCUUACCAAGACGAUGAUGGGUAGGGGUCCUGAGAGGGAGAUCCCCCACACUGGUACUGAGACACGGACCAGACUCCUACGGGAGGCAGCAGUGAGGAAUAUUGGUCAAUGGUCGCAAGACUGAACCAGCCAUGCCGCGUGCAGGAAGACGGUCCUAGUGGAUUGUAAACUGCUUUUAUACAGGAAGAAACCCUCCCACGUGUGGGAGCUUGACGGUACUGUAGGAAUAAGGAUCGGCUAACUCCGUGCCAGCAGCCGCGGUAAUACGGAGGAUCCAAGCGUUAUCCGGAAUCAUUGGGUUUAAAGGGUCCGUAGGCGGUCUUAUAAGUCAGUGGUGAAAG
rnacentral:rRNA from 1 species